AAAACAUAGACGAACGCUGGCGGCGUGCUUAACACAUGCAAGUUGAACGGUAUGACAUGGAAGCUUGCUGAAGUGUCAUAUAGUAGCGGACGGGUGAGUAAUGCAUGAGAAGCUGCCAUUGGGAGGGGGACAACAGUUGGAAACGGCUGCUAAUACCCCGUAUGCCGGAAGGUGAAAGGGAGCGAUCCGCCCGAUGAGGUGCUCAUGUCCUAUCAGCUGGUUGGUGGGGUAACGGCCUACCAAGGCGACGACGGGUAGCCGGCCUGAGAGGGUGAACGGCCACACUGGAACUGAGAUACGGUCCAGACUCCUACGGGAGGCAGCAGUGGGGAAUAUUGGGCAAUGGGGGCAACCCUGACCCAGCGACGCCGCGUGAGGGAAGACGGCCUUCGGGUUGUAAACCUCUUUUGUACGGGAAGAAGGAAGUGACGGUACUGUACGAAUAAGUCCCGGCUAACUACGUGCCAG
rnacentral:rRNA from 1 species